CCUACGGGUGGCAGCAGUGAGGAAUAUUGGUCAAUGGCCGAGAGGCUGAACCAGCCAAGUAGCGUGAGGGAUGACUGCCCUAUGGGUUGUAAACCUCUUUUAUAGGGGAAUAAAGUGUUCCACGUGUGGCUUUUUGUGUGUACCAUAUGAAUAAGGAUCGGCUAACUCCGUGCCAGCAGCCGCGGUAAUACGGAGGAUCCGAGCGUUAUCCGGAUUUAUUGGGUUUAAAGGGAGCGUAGGCGGAUUGUUAAGUCAGUGGUGAAAUUUUGCGGCUCAACCGUGAAAGUGCAGUUGAAACUGGAAGUCUUGAGUACAGUAGAGGUGGGCGGAAUGCGUGGUGUAGCGGUGAAAUGCUUAGAUAUCACGAAGAACUCCGAGUGCGAAGGCAGUUCACUGGAGUGCAAAUGACACUGAGGCUCGAAAGUGCGGGUAUCAAACAGGAUUAGAUACCCUUGUAGUC
rnacentral:rRNA from 1 species